UACGUAGGGUGCGAGCGUUAAUCGGAAUUACUGGGCGUAAAGCGUGCGCAGGCGGUUUUGCAAGGCCGAUGUGAAAUCCCCGGGCUUAACCUGGGAACUGCAUUUGUGACUGCACAGCUGGAGUGCGGCAGAGGGGGAUGGAAUUCCGCGUGUAGCAGUGAAAUGCGUAGAUAUGCGGAGGAACACCGAUGGCGAAGGCAAUCCCCUGGGCCUGCACUGACGCUCAUGCACGAAAGCGUGGGGAGCAAACAGG
rnacentral:rRNA from 1 species